rnacentral:rRNA from 1 species
AAAGCUCGUAGUUGGAUUUCUGGCAGGAGUGACUGACCACAAACUCUGUUUGUGAGUUGUGUCAUUCUGGCCAUCCUUGGUAAGAUCCUUUUUGGCAUUAAGUUGUCGGGAAGGGGAUGACCAUCGUUUACUGUGAAAAAAUUAGAGUGUUUAAAGCAGGCUUAUGCCGUUGAAUAUAUUAGCAUGGAAUAAUAAGAUAGGACUUUGAGUCUAUUUUGUUGGUUUGCGAGUCAAAGUAAUGAUUAAUAGGGACAGUUGGGGGUAUUCGUAUUUCAUUGUCAGAGGUGAAA